UACGGAGGGCGCUAGCGUUGUUCGGAAUUACUGGGCGUAAAGCGCACGUAGGUGACUUUUUAAGUCAGUGGUGAAAUACCGGGGCUCAACCUCGGAACUGCCUUUGAAACUGGAGAGCUAGAAUCUUGGAGAGGCGAGUGGAAUUCCGAGUGUAGAGGUGAAAUUCGUAGAUAUUCGGAAGAACACCAGUGGCGAAGGCGAAUCGCUGGACAAGUAUUGACGCUGAGGUGCGAAAGCGUGGGGAGCAAACAGG
rnacentral:rRNA from 1 species